UACAGAGGUGGCAAGCGUUGUUCGGAAUUACUGGGCGUAAAGGGCGCGUAGGCGGUUCGUUAAGUCCUGUGUGAAAUCCCCCGGCUCAACUGGGGAACUGCACAGGAAACUAGCGGGCUUGAGUUCGGGAGAGGGAAGCGGAAUUCCGGGUGUAGCGGUGAAAUGCGUAGAUAUCCGGAGGAACACCGGUGGCGAGGGCGGCUUCCUGGACCGACACUGACGCUGAGGCGCGAAAGCUAGGGGAGCAAACGGG
rnacentral:rRNA from 1 species